GUUGUUUUACGGAUCUCAAUCCCGAUCGAAUUGAAGAACUCCACGACGAACCAGAAGACCACGACCUUUAUUGUCCUCUCUCUUUCUUCCCCCACUGAGAAAUCUCUCUUCCUCUCUCUCUAUACACUGAAACCGUAGAUGAACAUAUCAAUCCUUCAAAUACUCUGUAUCACCACUGUGGAACACUGGAAGAAAAUUUGAAGUCUCCGAUUUGUUGCCCCUCCGUUCUCUCUUCUGUUUCAGAACUCCCUGAAACAAGGCCCCUUAGGGACCCCUCCCCAUGGGGCCAAACUGGGGAUAGUGUAGCACAGCCCCAUAGUCACACAGCGGAUGAGUUGAGAACAUAGAAGGCUUGGGAGGUUCGAACACUGGCCUGUAGAGUGUAAGCGCCGAGCUCCUACCAUCACUGCUACGCCCCGGGGGCAUCAGCAAGGACUUGUUGGAAGCAUUGUUGCAUAUCCCAUGCUAUUGUGUCUUUGCAUUGAUUAUGAGAACAAAAACUACUUGUCCGGAUGUUUGCCUCAAUCUUACCAAUAUUUGAGAUGAGAUAGAACCUUGGACUUGACUCCUUCAGAGCCAGAAGUAUUUUUGUUUGCAUUGAAGGGAUAAAAAUGGUUGAUUGAUGCUGCUUUAUCCUUGAGGAGGUUCCACUUGAGAACAUAACUUCUAGAUGUAUUUGGCAGAUGGUUCGGUUAUUUUUCUAUUGGUAGUCUGGGAAGAGGAAGUGGUGAAAGAAUUUGUUUAGAUGUCAAAUUCUGAAGAAAGGAUCCCUCUCUCAUGUUUAUGUUUCUUUUUCCUUUUUGGGGAUUUGAUAUUUUCCCUCGUUCUUAGGGUUGUUGCUUUUGUAUACUUCUUCAUGGGCUGGUCGGCUCUAAACUGUAAUCAUUUACAAGUUCAAAACUCUGUCAAUCCAGGUACAAUGGGGUGAAAGUAUGGCAUUGAUGCCGGUGAUUUCUCUGUUAACAGUUUGCCAUGACCUGAUUUGAAUUAAGCUACUUUUCAAGUAUUGUACUAGUUCAGAAACCAUCUAUUGUAGAGAGUCGAGAUUAGAACUCUUUUCAAGAACACAAUACAUUUUUUUUUGUUUUUUCGUGUGUGUGCGUGCGUGCGUGCGCGUGCGUGCGUGCGUGUGUGUGUGUUUGUGUGUGUGAACUGGAUGAGUGUCGAUGCUUAUUGAAGAAUGGAGACUUUCAUAUUGAUAGGGCGAUUGAGUGAAUGAAGUCUCUAUUUAGACUGUUUUAAUACAUGUAAGAAUAUGCAGUAUUUUUAAUUUUACUCUCUUCUAACCUUCAGCUUCAUUCUGAUUUAGAAGAGCCACUGAGUUUGCGAUAGUGUCACUAACAUAGUGGUCUUUUUUCAAGCUCCUCAGCAGUUCUCCAAUCAGGUGGAAUGGUAGAGGAGAAUUCAUUAAACUACAUAUUUUACUAGUCAUGACAGAAUGUCUAAAAAUUGCAUCUGAUCAAAUUAAAGGGAUAUGAUACUCACUGCUUCAAUUAGGUGAUAAUGUCGUGGUGAAUGAGGGAUUUGAGAGCAUUUUUCAAUGUGAACAUUCUUCUUUGUGCAUUAAUUUGUCAUGUUAGGUUUUUUUUUCAUUUUUUUUUCUCGAUUUUCUCUCUUUUUCACUCCCCCCUCUCUCCACUGUUCUUCCUCUUAAUUUGCAGGAACAUCAUCAAUCAAUAGACCAGGAUAUUUGAUUUUAUCUGUGUUGUUUUUCUUCUUCUCAUGUUCCAUUGAAAAUUAUUACUGUAUUCAAUAGGCUAAGUAAAAGUUGUGUGGGUUCAACGUCUUGUUGUAAAUAUCUUAUCUCAAAAUAUGUGAAUUUUUUUUCUUCAUAAG